rnacentral:rRNA from 1 species
GACGAACGCUGGCGGCGUGCUUAACACAUGCAAGUCGAACGGAAAGGCCCUGCUUUUGUGGGGUGCUCGAGUGGCGAACGGGCGAGUAACACGUGAGUAACCUGCCCUUGACUUUGGGAUAACUUCAGGAAACUGGGGCUAAUACCGGAUAGGAGCUCCUGCUGCAUGGUGGGGGUUGGAAAGUUUCGGCGGUUGGGGAUGGACUCGCGGCUUAUCAGCUUGUUGGUGGGGUAGUGGCUUACCAAGGCUUUGACGGGUAGCCGGCCUGAGAGGGUGACCGGCCACAUUGGGACUGAGAUACGGCCCAGACUCCUACGGGAGGCAGCAGUGGGGAAUAUUGCACAAUGGGCGGAAGCCUGAUGCAGCAACGCCGCGUGCGGGAUGACGGCCUUCGGGUUGUAAACCGCUUUCGCCUGUGACGAAGCGUGAGUGGCGGUAAUGGGUAAAGAAGCACCGGCUAACUACGUG